rnacentral:rRNA from 1 species
UGAGGAACAUGACCUUCGGCGGGGGAUAGCCGGCCCAACGGCCGGGUAAUACCGCGUACGACCGUCUAGGGACAUCCCUGGAUGGUGAAAGCAGCAAUGCGCCGAUGGAGUGCCUCGCGGCCUAUCAGCUAGUUGGUGAGGUAACGGCUCACCAAGGCGACGACGGGUAGCUGGUCUGAGAGGAUGGCCAGCCACAUUGGGACUGAGACACGGCCCAGACUCCUAGGGAGG